GAUGCCACACCCUGAAAUUCCUCAGGGACCAG
rnacentral:piRNA from 1 species